rfam:Bacillus cereus Rock4-18 chromosome, whole genome shotgun sequence.
GAAAACUUUGCUCCGCACAAAUGUAUACGGUGAAGCGUUGUACGGAGC